AGUGGAUGGGGAGCAACCUAGUUGUGCGUGUGUAAAGGUAGUGCCAAGAAAAGCGAUGAUCAUGUUGAAAAUCAAUUCCCGGUACCCGAAACCGACACAGGUGGGCAAGUAGAGAAUACUAAGGGGCGCGAGGUAACUCUCUCCAAGGAACUCGGCAAAAUGACCCCGUAACUUAGGGAGAAGGGGUGCCACCGAGAGGUGGUCGCAGUGAAGAGCCCAGGCGACUGUUUAGCAAAAACAUAGGUCUCUGCAAACUCGAAAGAGGAGGUAUAGGGGCUGACGCCUGCCCAGUGCCGGAAGGUUAAAGAAGUUGGUCAGUCUUAGGAUGAAGCUAGCGACUGAAGCCCCGGUGAAAGGCGGCCGUAACUAUAACGGUCCUAAGGUAGCGAAAUUCCUUGUCGGGUAAGUUCCGACCCGCACGAAAGGCGUAACGAUCUGGGCGCUGUCUCGGAGAGAGGCUCGGCGAAAUAGGAUUGUCUGUGAAGAUACGGACUACCUGCAUUUGGACAGAAAGACCCUAUGAAGCUUUACUAUAGCUUGGAAUUGUGUUCGGGCUUCCUGUGCGCAGGAUAGGUGGGAGGCGUAAGGUAUUCUUGUGGGGAUACUGGAGCCAACGGUGAGAUACCACUCUCAGGAGGCUAGAAUUCUAACUUAAUUAAGGACAGUUUCAGGUGGGUAGUUUGACUGGGGCGGUCGCCUCCAAAAAGGUAACGGAGGCGUACAAAGGUUCCCUCAGACUGGUUGGAAAUCAGUCGAAGAGUGCAAAGGCAGAAGGGAGCUUGACUGCGAGAAGUACAGUUCGAGCAGGGUGGAAACACGGUCUUAGUGAUCCGACGGUGCUGUGUGGAAGGGCCGUCGCUCAACGGAUAAAAGUUACUCUAGGAUAACAGGCUGAUCUCCCCCAAGAGUUCACAUCGACGGGGAGGUUUGGCACCUCGAUGUCGGCUCAUCGCAACCUGGGGCGGAAGUACGUCCCAAGGGUUGGGCUGUUCGCCCAUUAAAGCGGUACGUGAGCUGGGUUCAGAACGUCGUGAGACAGUUCGGUCCAUAUCCGAUGUAGGCGUGAGAAUAUUGAGAGGAGCCUUCCUUAGUACGAGAGGACCGGGAAGGACGCACCGCUGGUGUACCUGUUAUGAUGCCAAUUGUAAACGCAGGGUAGCCAAGUGCGGAGAGGAUAACCGCUGAAAGCAUCUAAGUGGGAAGCCCACCUCAAGAUGAGUAUUCUGGUGUAAGGUCACGGGAAGACGACCCGUAAAUAGGCACGAGGUGGAAGUGCAGAGAUGUAUGAAGCCGAAGUGUACUGAUAGACCGUCGGCUUGAC
rnacentral:rRNA from 1 species